AUUGAACGCUGGCGGCAUGCUUUACACAUGCAAGUCGAACGGUAACAGGUCUUCGGAUGCUGACGAGUGGCGAACGGGUGAGUAAUACAUCGGAACGUGCCUAGUAGUGGGGGAUAACUACUCGAAAGAGUGGCUAAUACCGCAUGAGAUCUACGGAUGAAAGCAGGGGAUCGCAAGACCUUGUGCUACUAGAGCGGCCGAUGGCAGAUUAGGUAGUUGGUGGGAUAAAAGCUUACCAAGCCGACGAUCUGUAGCUGGUCUGAGAGGACGAUCAGCCAAACGGGGGCUGAGACAGGGCCCAGAGUGCUCAGGGAGGCAGCAGUGGGGAAUUUUGGACAAUGGGCGCAAGCCUGAUCCAGCAAUGCCGCGUGCAGGAUGAAGGCCUUCGGGUUGUAAACUGCUUUUGUACGGAACGAAAAGCCCUGGGUUAAUACCCUGGGGUCAUGACGGUACCGUAAGAAUAAGCACCGGCUAACUACGUGCCAGCAGCCGCCGUAA
rnacentral:rRNA from 1 species